rnacentral:rRNA from 1 species
UACGUAGGGGGCAAGCGUUGUCCGGAAUCAUUGGGCGUAAAGCGCGUGUAGGCGGCUCGUUAAGUCCGCUCUGAAAGCCCGGGGCUCAACCCCGGGAGGCGGGUGGAUACUGUCGAGCUCGAGUCCGGAAGAGGAGUGUGGAAUUCCUGGUGUAGCGGUGAAAUGCGCAGAUAUCAGGAGGAACACCAAUGGCGAAGGCAGCACUCUGGGACGUGACUGACGCUGAGACGCGAAAGCGUGGGGAGCAAACAGG